CACAGGCUUCAUAAAGCCUAAAAAACUUCAGACUGAGAGGAAAAGACCCCAGUCAAGAUGGGUGCGGCUGUUGUCAUCAGCACACAGUGGUGAACCUGGAGCUGUGAAAUGGAGGAGGAGAAAGAGGAAAGGAGCCUGCAUCCCAGAUGACACGACCGAGCUGCUGACCCAGAUCGCAGGACACGAGAUAGUGCAUUUCCCUUCUGUUAAGUAAUUUCUGUAGUUACCGAAUCUGGAAGGAAAACUAAGAGGCCACCAGGCAGGCCGUGUGAUGGAAGGAGUGAGGGGAGAAGGAGCAUCCAUGCAGAGGGAACAGCAUGUGCAAAGAUGAGGGUCAGUGAGGACGUGGUUUGUACAGUUUCAAGGCACAGCAACUGUCGGUUGUGAGAGAUGCUUCUGCUACCACUUCUAUUGCUCACGGCAAGGCAAAAUGUCAGUCUAGAUUCAAG